UACGAAGGGGGCUAGCGUUGCUCGGAAUUACUGGGCGUAAAGGGCGCGUAGGCGGAUAGUUUAGUUGGGGGUGAAAGCCCGGGGCUCAACCUCGGAAUUGCCUUCAAUACUGGCUAUCUUGAGUGUGAGAGAGGUGUGUGGAACUCCGAGUGUAGAGGUGAAAUUCGUAGAUAUUCGCAAGAACACCAGUGGCGAAGGCGGCUCACUGGCCCGACACUGACGCUGAGGCACGAAAGCGUGGGGAGCAAACAGG
rnacentral:rRNA from 1 species